rnacentral:RNase_P_RNA from 1 species
CGAGUCGACCGGGCGGUCGCGUCGGCGGGCCGGAAGGCCCGUCGCCGAGGAACGUCCGGACUCCACAGGGCAGGGUGGUUGUUAACGGCAACCCGGGGCGACCCGCGGGACAGUGCCACAGAAAACAGACCGCCGGGCCCAUGUGGUCCGGUAAGGGUGAAACGGUGGGGUAAGAGCCCACCAGCAUCCCGGGUGACCGGGAUGGCUCGGUAAACCCCACCCGGAGCAAGGCCAAGAAAGGACCGUCACCGGCAACGAUGACGGUCCGCGCAGACGUUCGAGGGCGGCCCGCCCGAUGUCUGCGGGUAGGCCGCUGGAGUCUGCCGGCGACGGCAGACCGAGAUGGAUGGCCGCCACCGGCGCCGCCGGCAACGGCGUGUGUCGGGACAGAAUCCGGCGUACAGGUCGACUCGUCCG